rnacentral:lncRNA from 1 species
UGCAGCUUAAUAGAAGUUGUGUAAAAGUACAGGUUCAGAUAUGAGGAACAGAAAUAAUUGCAGUUCUGAUCUUGAAUAGAACCAAAAAUCAUUGUGCAAAUGUUCAUGAAGUUCCCACAUUCAGCCUCACCAGCUUCUGAAGACUGGGGAAGAUUGUAGGCUUUCUUUAUUGGAUGGAACUUCCUCAUCACAUAUUCAGAAGUUUGUCUGUGUUAAUAUGCAUGGUAUUUUUUUUAACUUCCAACAGCCCAAAUCUCUUUUGUUG